AAUUAAUAAUAUAUCUGUAUUAUUUAGUAGCUUAAAUCGAUAGAUUUAAUAAAUAAAC
rnacentral:tRNA from 1 species